rnacentral:rRNA from 1 species
AUACGUAGGUGGCAAGCGUUAUCCGGAUUUACUGGGUGUAAAGGGCGCGCAGGCGGCCCUGAAAGUCAGAUGUGAAAGAUCAAGGCUUAACUUUGACAGGUCAUCUGAAACUUUGGGGCUUGAGUAUCAGAGGGGAAAGUGGAAUUCCUAGUGGAGCGGUAAAAUGCAAAGAGAUUAGGAGGAACACCGGUGGCGAAGGCGACUUUCUGGCUGACAACUGACGCUGAGGCGCGAAAGCUAGGGGAGCGAACAGGAUUAGAUACCCUGGUAGUCCUAGCCGUAAACGAUGAUAGCUAGGUGUGGGGGGACCGCCCCUCCGUGCCGCAGCCAACGCAUUAAGCUAUCCGCCUGGGGAGUACGGCCGCAAGGCUAAAACUCAAAGGAAUUGACGGGG